rnacentral:rRNA from 1 species
UACAGAGGUCCCAAGCGUUGUUCGGAUUCACUGGGCGUAAAGGGUGCGUAGGCGGCGAGGUAAGUCGGAUGUGAAAGCUCGGAGCUCAACUCCGAAAUGGCAUUGGAAACUACCUUGCUCGAGGGUUGGAGGGGGGACUGGAAUUCUCGGUGUAGCAGUGAAAUGCGUAGAUAUCGAGAGGAACACCAGUGGCGAAGGCGAGUCCCUGGACAACUCCUGACACUGAGGCACGAAAGCUAGGGGAGCAAACAGG